GAUGAACGCUGGCGGCGUGCCUAACACAUGCAAGUCGAGCGAAGCGCUUAAAUUAGAUUUCUUCGGAAUGACGAUUUUUGUGACUGAGCGGCGGACGGGUGAGUAACGCGUGGGUAACCUGCCUCAUACAGGGGGAUAACAGUUAGAAAUGACUGCUAAUACCGCAUAAGACCCCAGCUUCGCAUGAAGCGGUGGUAAAAACUCCGGUGGUAUGAGAUGGACCCGCGUCUGAUUAGCUAGUUGGUAAGGUAACGGCUUACCAAGGCGACGAUCAGUAGCCGACCUGAGAGGGUGACCGGCCACAUUGGGACUGAGACACGGCCCAGACUCCUACGGGAGGCAGCAGUGGGGAAUAUUGCACAAUGGGGGAAACCCUGAUGCAGCAACGCCGCGUGAAGGAUGAAGUAUUUCGGUAUGUAAACUUCUAUCAGCAGGGAAGAAAGUGACGGUACCUGACUAAGAAGCCCCGGCUAACUACGUG
rnacentral:rRNA from 1 species